rnacentral:rRNA from 1 species
UUAAGCAUAUCAAUAAGCGGAGGAAAAGAAACUAACAAGGAUUCCCCUAGUAACUGCGAGUGAAGCGGGAAAAGCUCAAAUUUGAAAUCUGGCAGUUCUUUUGACUGUCCGAGUUGUAAUCUAGAGAAGUGUUACCUGUGCUGGACCAUGUACAAGUCUUCUGGAAUGGGGCAUCAUAGAGGGUGAGAAUCCCGUCUUUGACAUGGACUACCAGUGCACUGUGGUGCGCUCUCAAAGAGUCGAGUUGUUUGGGAAUGCAGCUCAAAAUGGGUGGUAAAUGCCAUCUAAAGCUAAAUAUUGGCGAGAGACCGAUAGCGAACAAGUACCGUGAGGGAAAGAUGAAAAGAACUUUGGAAAGAGAGUUAAACAGUACGUGAAAUUGCUGAAAGGGAAACGCUUGAAGUCAGUCACGUUGGCUAGAAAUCAGCCUUGCUUUUGCUUGGUGUACUUUCUGGUUUGACGGGUCAGCAUCGAUUUCUUUGACCAUUGGAUAAAGUCUUUGGGAAUGUGGCAUCUUUGGAUGUGUUAUAGCCCAUUGUUGCAUACGAUGGUUGGGAUCGAGGAACUCAGCACGCCGCAAGGCCGGGUUUAUACCACGUUCGUGCUUAGGAUGCUGGCAUAAUGGCUUUAAUCGACCCGUCUUGAAACACGGACCAAGGAGUCUAACAUGCCUGCGA